UCCCUUGUGGUCCAGUAGCUAAGGUUCUACGCUCCCAAUGUAGGGGGCCCGGGUUCAAUCCCUGGUGGGGGAA
rnacentral:tRNA from 1 species